rnacentral:rRNA from 1 species
UACGGGGGGAGCAAGCGUUGUUCGGAUUUACUGGGCGUAAAGGGCGCGUAGGCGGCGUGACAAGUCACUUGUGAAAUCUCCGGGCUUAACCCGGAGCGGCCAAGUGAUACUGUCGUGCUAGAGUGCGGAAGGGGCUACUGGAAUUCUCGGUGUAGCGGUGAAAUGCGUAGAUAUCGAGAGGAACACCUGCGGCGAAGGCGGGUAGCUGGGCCGACACUGACGCUGAUGCGCGAAAGCCAGGGGAGCAAACGGG